ACAAUGUAAUUUUGAGGUUAGUAUUUACUCUAAUAUACUACAGUAAAACUUAUGAAUGUUGAUAGGACUUUGGUUUACUGGUUAGGUUGUUUUACUGACUGCAUGGUUCACUAUACGUCACAAACAUUGAUCAAACCUGGCUCCAAAAGGGCUGCAUGAUUGCGAUGGGGGACCUGGGUGGAUCGGUUUAACAGUAAAUGUCAAUGUAGAUGUUGUGGACGUUAUUGGAGUAAAUGAGUGGAGAUUUCUACCUCUUAUAAUAGUGGAUAAAGACCAUACCGGGGGAUAAAAAAAAAGCCUGAAAGUGGAAGAAUACCCAGAUUAGGGAAUCGCCAAUAGAAUUAUCAUAAACCAAGAUGCCAAAUGAAAAUAUUAGGACUUACCAAUGGAAUUGGCCUUUUCUCAGGAACACAAAACUGGACACUUAAACAAAGAACCUUGAAAAAGUUGGGAUUUAACUUCACCACUUAUAAUCCUGCACUAUUGCAGUAUGGCAUUUAGUAUCCACAAACUAAAAUACCCAAAAGAUUACCCUACUCUUCAUUCUUCAAGCGCAUUCGUCAACUAAUUGUGGCGUGAUUUAUGACAACGUUGCCGCGCGCCGAGGUUGGUGUUGUACCACACAGGGAUUUGUCUCGGCGCAAUGUCUAAUUACCUUCUCUAUUCUCCUAACCGAUACAACUCGCGUCUAUGGUUGUGCUGUACGGGACAAUGGAUUUACGCUUCCAGGCAGCUCAAAAACAUAUCGUCUAACAUUCAAGGAAUAUCGAUGACUGCCUGGAAUAAGUAAAAUAAGGCUCUUUCUUAUCCCUAGCAGUUGUAAUAUUUCUGUUGCAUUUUAUUGGCUUAUGAGUAUUCCUUUUU